UACGAAGGGGGCUAGCGUUGUUCGGAUUUACUGGGCGUAAAGCGCACGUAGGCGGAUCUUUAAGUCAGGGGUGAAAUCCCGAGGCUCAACCUCGGAACUGCCUUUGAUACUGGAGAUCUUGAGUUCGGGAGAGGUGAGUGGAACUGCGAGUGUAGAGGUGAAAUUCGUAGAUAUUCGCAAGAACACCAGUGGCGAAGGCGGCUCACUGGUCCGGUACUGACGCUGAGGUGCGAAAGCGUGGGGAGCAAACAGG
rnacentral:rRNA from 1 species